UCGCGCCCGGGGCCCACCGCACCAGUGCCAGUUGUUCACGUUGGUCCCGUCCUCCCGCUCCUCCACGAUCCAGCGCGGGUCCCCCUGGCCCCACUUGGCCAUGGCGGCGCUGACGACGAGGGCCCUGGUAGCGGGAGCGCGCGGGUUUCCGGCCAGAAGUGCUCCUCUAGAGACAAAAGAUUGUGCUUGCAAGUGCCCGGGAUUGUUACAAUAAGGGUUUAUUCUUUUCAUCGUUUUUAGCAAAACUGAAACCACCAUUUGGAAAGUGUUUCUUAGGAGAUUUAUUUAACAAAUAAAAUAGGUAGUUCAGUGGGAGAUGGGG
ensembl:processed_transcript